rnacentral:rRNA from 1 species
GGCGUGCCUAAUACAUGCAAGUCGAGCGGACAGAUGGGAGCUUGCUCCCUGAUGUUAGCGGCGGACGGGUGAGUAACACGUGGGUAACCUGCCUGUAAGACUGGGAUAACUCCGGGAAACCGGGGCUAAUACCGGAUGGUUGUUUGAACCGCAUGGUUCAAACAUAAAAGGUGGCUUCGGCUACCACUUACAGAUGGACCCGCGGCGCAUUAGCUAGUUGGUGAGGUAACGGCUCACCAAGGCAACGAUGCGUAGCCGACCUGAGAGGGUGAUCGGCCACACUGGGACUGAGACACGGCCCAGACUCCUACGGGAGGCAGCAGUAGGGAAUCUUCCGCAAUGGACGAAAGUCUGACGGAGCAACGCCGCGUGAGUGAUGAAGGUUUUCGGAUCGUAAAGCUCUGUUGUUAGGGAAGAACAAGUACCGUUCGAAUAGGGCGGUACCUUGACGGUACCUAACCAGAAAGCCACGGCUAACUACGUGCCAGCAGCCCGGUAUAAAUAAACACCCGUCGCUGGGUCCGUCGCGGUG